rnacentral:rRNA from 1 species
UCCGUAGGUGAACCUGCGGAAGGAUCAUUACCGAGUGAGGGCCCUCUGGGUCCAACCUCCCACCCGUGUCUAUCGUACCUUGUUGCUUCGGCGGGCCCGCCGUUUCGACGGCCGCCGGGGAGGCCUUGCGCCCCCGGGCCCGCGCCCGCCGAAGACCCCAACAUGAACGCUGUUCUGAAAGUAUGCAGUCUGAGUUGAUUAUCGUAAUCAGUUAAAACUUUCAACAACGGAUCUCUUGGUUCCGGCAUCGAUGAAGAACGCAGCGAAAUGCGAUAAGUAAUGUGAAUUGCAGAAUUCAGUGAAUCAUCGAGUCUUUGAACGCACAUUGCGCCCCCUGGUAUUCCGGGGGGCAUGCCUGUCCGAGCGUCAUUGCUGCCCUCAAGCACGGCUUGUGUGUUGGGCCCCCGUCCCCCUCUCCCGGGGGACGGGCCCGAAAGGCAGCGGCGGCACCGCGUCCGGUCCUCGAGCGUAUGGGGCUUUGUCACCUGCUCUGUAGGCCCGGCCGGCGCCAGCCGACACCCAACUUUAUUUUUCUAAGGUUGACCUCGGAUCAGGUAGGGAUACCCGCUGAACUUAAGCAUAUCAAUAAGCGGAGGAA